rnacentral:lncRNA from 10 species
CAAACCGAGAGUGCCGCAGAUGGGCGCCCCUGACCUUCCCGCUGCUCCAAGCUCCCCACUCGGCCUCGCGCGCCCUCCCUCCUCUCAUAGCUCGGCGUCCUCGCCCGCCCCCGCGCGGCCCUCCCAGAACAGUACCUGUAUCUGCCUGGUGCACCUACUGUGUGUUGCUAGUCACUGAAGACUUGGGGACCAAGACAGACAAGGUGCCCACUCACCUGGAGCUCACAGCCUGCGGGGAGGGGAAAAAGAUACUGAACAAACAAAUAAACAAGAAUAUUAUCACCUAUUACCUGCUGUGCAGAAAAUUAAAAAGUGAAAUGUAACAGAGUGGCUGCAUGAGGAGGAGUUUCAACUGGAGCAGUCAGGCAUACCAUCCCAGAGGAGGUGACAUUUGUGCAAAGACCCAAGGAAUGAUCAAGAGUCAGUCAUCAAGCAUCCAGGAGACCUGAGCUGCAGACAGAAGAAACAGCAAGUGCAAAGGCCCUGUGCUGGGCAUGAGUGUGGCAUGCUAGAGGAACAGCAGAGAGAAAAGGAGGGGACGAGGAGGAGAGAU